GUAGCUGUCUUAAAAAUUAAAAAUAAAUUAAUUUAGAGGUUAAAAAUCCUCUAAACUUUAAAGGGACGACAAGACCCUAUAAACUUUAACCUUCUAUACUUUCUAUUAUACAGAAAUUUCAGAAAUAUUAUAAAGGUUUUACUGGGGCGGUAAUAUUUAUAAACAACCUAAUAUAAAAUAUCUUGAAUAACCUUUAAACACCUAAUUUUUAAAUUUAAAUAUAAGGUACUUUAGGGAUAACAGCCUAAUUUUUUUAUAGAGCCCUUAUCGAUAAAAAUACUUAGGACCUCGAUGUUGAAUUAAAGUUUCUAUAUAAAGCAAACCUUAUAUAAGAAGGUCUGUUCGACCUUUAAAUCUUUACAUGAUCUGAGUUCAAACCGGAC
rnacentral:rRNA from 1 species